rnacentral:lncRNA from 1 species
CUGAACUGCAACCAUAUUAAGACAGUAAAGUCUGGAGUUGGAGUUGGAGUUGGAGUCUGUUGAAUUACAUGGAGCUGUACAAAAGUAAAGAAAAACAUCAAUAUAUAUAUAUUUUUGUGGAAAACUGUGGAUUACUAUGUUGUUUGGAUGAAGAAAACUAUGGACUGUACUUGUCAAAAAAAUGGACACUAGCUUGGAACGCAGCUGGUGGUCUAAUGGAGGGCUGGACUUGGAACCCAGUCAGCAGCUUACUUAAGCUUGAAGUUCUUGCAGUAAGGUUCUGCAACUCAGUUGUAUUACACAGAACUGCAAACCUGAACGCAACAUGUGAAUAAAAUCAUCUAUAUAUUUUUUUCUGAACUGUGGAUUACUAUGCUGUUUGGAUAAAGAAAACUGUGGCCUGUACUUGUCUGAAAAUGGACACCAGCUUGGUAAGACAUAGGCUAUUUAAUAUGUGACUUGACAAAUGUAUUCAACAUCUACUGUACGUCUGUGUGUUCUUAACAGGUCAGUAGAUACAUCAG